rnacentral:lncRNA from 1 species
UUUUUUUUCUUUCUUUUUUUUUUUUUCUGGUCAAACCUGCAGCCUAUGGAAGUUCCUGGGCCAGGGAUUGUAUCUGAGCUGCACCUGCAACCUACACCACAGCUGGGCCCAGGGUGCUGGGCCAGGGAUCAAACUGGCAAUGACACAAAGACAAGCCAGAUCAGUAACCUACUGUGCCACAGUGGGAAAUCCUAGAAUGAUUUUUGAUAUCUCCCUUUAGCUUUGCCAAAACCAAUCAACUGCCCUGCCCUUAAGUGCAUUUUUCUUCAAAACACUUUCUAAACCCCCAGUUAUGUUUAUUCCCUUGUUCACAGUCAUUCCCAUGUUGUAAUUGAGCCCUAAUCCCCUUACAUCUGCACUCCUCAAACAAAACAAAACAAACAAAAAACAAAACCCCCAAACCAAUCUGUCUUUCUCCCACAAAAGUUUCUUGUUAUCCUUAUGUAAAAAAACAACAACAGAAAAACCAAAUGGGACCUAAUUAAACUUAAAAUUUUUCACAGCAAAGGAAACCAUAAACAAAAUGAAAACACACCCCACAGAAUGGGAGAAAAUAUUUGCAAAUGAAGCAACUGACAGGAGAAUAAUCCUGCCAGGUCUAUCCACCUCAAAACUGUCUUAAUUAUGUCACUCUUCUUUUUAAAAGCCUUCAAUGGCACUUUACUAGUCCAGACAAUGUUUGAACUGCCCUCCUCCAACCCUUGAGCCUGUAGAAAUUCUAUCCACUCUUAAGUUGCUAUACCUGGCAUAUGGAGUUCCCAGGCCAGGGAUCAGAUCCCAACUGCAGUUCAACCUAUGACAGGUGUGGCAACACCGGAACUUUAAUCCAUUGUGCUGGGCCAGGGGUCGAACCUGUGUCUAGAGGCCACUGAUCCUGUUAUGCCACAGCGGGAACUCCAGCAACACCUGUUUUAACACAGGGAUUCUGCACUCUAGCCAGAAGCGUCUUCUCUCUCUGCCACUAUUCUAUAGCUCAAAGAUAGCAUUGACCAAGUAUCAGUGAUCACACAGUACCUACCUCAUUUCUGUGUCUAUCCUGUCCCCUACUAGAUGGUAAAUUCCUUGGGGUUAAGGGUCAUAUCUUGAACAAUUUGUAUUUCACACAGCUCCCAGCUUUACUGCUGACCUGCAGAUUCUAAGGACUAUCACUUUUAAGUGGAGAGCAACUAUUCAUGAUACAGUAUUAAGCAAAUGUUAGAAUAUAUUCAACAUCAGGCUUAAAAAAAGGUGUAUGCAUACAAUAAAAAAGAAUCAAAGCCAUGAGGACUAUCUGAAUGUAAUCAGGAUAUAAAAUAAUCCAGGCACAGAGAAAAUUAAACCACGAUGAUCACACCUACUCAUUAAAGAGACUUACCUAGGGGCUCAAAAGUGAAUUAAAAGAAUGCCUGGAGUAGAAAGUGUGUCUGAGUUUACCUACGUUAGUUGGAGCGAAGGAUGGCACUUAGUAUAGUCAGAUGUAGCACAAAAAACUCCAUAUCUCCCCCUCAAAAAAAAAAGUCCACAAUUACUUUCCCAGUCCCAACUGUUUAUAACAAUAUUAGCUAAUGUUUCUCAGAUACUGUUACAUAGGUUCUGGUGCAUUUUCUACAUAAAUUCUUCUUUCCACAUUCAGAAAAAAAGCCGAAGUAAAAGGUCAAAUUUUAUUAAAGCUUCUUAAGAGAAAAAUGCUAGUUAGCUCAGUGCGAAGAAUCAUUCAUACAGAAAAGUCCAGUGAGAAGAAGUAGUGUCAUAUUUAUCAUGAUGUUUGCUGUUUGUGAGGCAUUCCACAGAACUGCUUUAUUUUGUAAUUAAAUGAAGAAGGGUCUUAAAGCUUGUUGCAUCAAAAUUCAUAUCUAUGGAGUUCCCGUUAUGGCGCAGUGGUUAACGAAUCCGACUAGGGACCAUGAGGUUGCGGGUUCGAUUCCUGGACUUACUCAGUGGGUUAAUGAUCUGGCGUUGCCUUGAGCUGUGGUGUAGGUUGCAGACACGGCUUGGAUCCCGAGUUGCUGUGGUGCUGCUGUAGGCCGGUGGCUACAGCUCUGAUUCCACCCCUAGCCUGGGAACCUCAUAUGCCACAGGAUCGGCCCUGGAAAAGGCAAAAAGACAAAAAAAAAAAAAAAAAAAAAAAAAA